rnacentral:rRNA from 1 species
GAUGAACGCUAGCUACAGGCUUAACACAUGCAAGUCGAGGGGCAGCAUGGUCUUAGCUUGCUAAGGCCGAUGGCGACCGGCGCACGGGUGGGUAACACGUAUCCAACCUGCCGUCUACUCUUGGACAGCCUUCUGAAAGGAGAUUAAUACAAGAUGGCAUCAUGACGUCCGCAUGUUCACAUGAUUAAAGGUAUUCCGGUAGACGAUGGGGAUGCGUUCCAUUAGAUAGUAGGCGGGGUAACGGCCCACCUAGUCUUCGAUGGAUAGGGGUUCUGAGAGGAAGGUCCCCCAGUUGGAACUGAGACACGGUCCAA